UACGUAGGGGGCUAGCGUUGUCCGGAUUUAUUGGGCGUAAAGAGCGUGUAGGCGGCCAUGUAGGUCCGGUGUGAAAACUCGAGGCUUAACCUCGAGAUGUCAUCGGAAACCAUUUGGCUAGAGUCCGGAAGAGGAGAGUGGAAUUCCUGGUGUAGCGGUGAAAUGCGCAGAUAUCAGGAAGAACACCAAUGGCGAAAGCAGCUCUCUGGGACGGUACUGACGCUGAGACGCGAAGGCGUGGGGAGCGAACAGG
rnacentral:rRNA from 1 species